rnacentral:rRNA from 1 species
AACGUAGGACACAAGCGUUAUCCGGAGUUAUUGGGCGUAAAGAGCGUGUAGGCGGCCAGGUAGGUCUGCUGUGAAAACUCGAGGCUUAACCUCGAGAUGUCGGCGGAAACCAUCUGGCUAGAGUCCGGAAGAGGAGAAUGGAAUUCCCGGUGUAGCGGUGAAAUGCGCAGAUAUCGGGAAGAACACCCGUGGUGAAGGCGGUUCUCUGGGACGGUACUGACGCUGAGACGCGAAAGCGUGGGGAGCGAACAGG